UACAGAGGUCUCAAGCGUUGUUCGGAUUCAUUGGGCGUAAAGGGUGCGUAGGCGGCGCGGUAAGUCGGGUGUGAAAUCUUGGAGCUUAACUCCGAAACUGCAUUCGAUACUGCCGUGCUUGAGGACUGGAGAGGAGACUGGAAUUCCUGGUGUAGCAGUGAAAUGCGUAGAUAUCAGGAGGAAUACCGAUGGCGAAGGCAGGUCUCUGGGCUGACACUGACGCUCAUGCACGAAAGCGUGGGGAGCAAACAGG
rnacentral:rRNA from 1 species